rnacentral:rRNA from 1 species
GAUGAACACUAGCGGCAGGCCUAACACAUGCAAGUCGAGGGGUAGAACACUUCGGUGUUUGAGACCGGCGCACGGGUGCGUAACGCGUAUGCAAUCUGCCUUACACUAAGGGAUAGCCCAGAGAAAUUUGGAUUAAUACCUUAUAGUAUAUUGAUGUGGCAUCACAUUAUUAUUAAAGAUUUAUUGGUGUAAGAUGAGCAUGCGUCCCAUUAGCUAGUUGGUAUGGUAACGGCAUACCAAGGCGAUGAUGGGUAGGGGUCCUGAGAGGGGGGUCCCCCCCAAUGGUAAUGGGACACGGACCAGACUCCUACGGGAGGCAGGAGUGAGGAAUAUUUGUCAAUGGUCCGAAGACUGAACCAGCCAUGCCGCGUGCCGGAUGAAGCAUCUUUGGUGUGUAAACUGCUUUUGUACGGGAAGAAACACCUCUUCGUGAAGAGGCUUGACGGUACCGUAAGAAUAAGGAUCGGCUAACUCCGUGCCAGCCGCCGCCGUAA